rnacentral:rRNA from 1 species
CGAAAGCCUGACGGAGCAAGACCGCGUGGGGGAGGAAUGCCUUAGGGUUGUAAACCCCUUUUAUCUGGGAAGAACAAAAUGACGGUACCAGAUGAAUAAGCCUCGGCUAACUCCGUGCCAGCAGCCGCGGUAAUACGGAGGAGGCAAGCGUUAUCCGGAUUUAUUGGGCGUAAAGCGUCCGCAGGUGGCAGUUCAAGUCUGCUGUCAAAGACAGUGGCUCAACUACUGAAAGGCAGCAAAUACUGAGCAGCUAGAGUGCGGUAGGGGCAGAGGGAAUUCCCGGUGUAGCGGUGAAAUGCGUAGAUUUCGGGAAGAACAUCGGUGGCGAAAGCGCUCUGCUGGACCGCAACUGACACUCAGGGACGAAAGCUAGGGGAGCG